rnacentral:rRNA from 1 species
GAUGAGCGCUGGCGGCGUGCCUAAUACAUGCAAGUCGAACGGGGCAGCAAUGCCUAGUGGCGACCGGGUGCGUAACACGUAGCUGACCUGCCCCUCAGCGGGGGACAACAGGCCGAAAGGCCUGCUAAUACCGCAUGAUUAUGGGAUGACUAGAAUAUCCUAUAUAAACUUACGGGGCUGAGGGAGGGGCUGCGGCCCAUCAGGUAGUUGGUGAGGUAAAGCNC